rnacentral:rRNA from 1 species
UACGGAGGGUGCGAGCGUUGUCCGGAAUCACUGGGCGUAAAGGGCGCGUAGGCGGCGCGGGGAGUCAACGGUGAAAGCUCGGCGCUCAACGCCGAGUCGGCCGUCGAUACUCCCGUGCUCGAGCACUGUAGAGGCAGGUGGAAUUCCGGGUGUAGCGGUGGAAUGCGUAGAGAUCCGGAAGAACACCGGUGGCGAAGGCGGCCU